rnacentral:misc_RNA from 1 species
GGUUAAUACAUAUUCAACAAGUUACAUAACUGUUGGUUCGAUUUCUAUCAACGAAUUCAGCUUCUUGAGUUAGAUUUAAACCUGCUCAAGAUGCAGAUGAGAGGACUCAAAUCAUCGGUUUGCUUCUACUGAGCCUUCCGCUAGCCACUUCCAUCUAGCUGUCCAUGAGAAGCGAGGUGUGCCAUGUAUAGCGCAUGGUAUGCAUAUGGUGAUUUUCCUUGACGUUCAAAAUGUUUAGCCAGGACGGACCAUUCGACUGGUCCCCAUUCUUCCACUUCAAAAACAUUCCCCAACGCUGCUUUAUAUAACUUAGCUGUGUCAGUAAGGAUCUCUGUUCCAGCUGGAUAAGAAGCAUAGAAUUGGUCAGCUCUCGAGUACCCUGCUCUAGUAGUGUUGUUGGUGUACGCAUAUGUGAUGACUGUAACGAAGCAAUAGAAUCCAGUAUAGGACACAAUUCUCCGGAACUUUUGGAUCUUCAAAAUGUCGUUCCAUCCUUCAUACAGCCGCCACAUUUUGUAUUGAUCCGCUGACCACGGAAAUACCUUCAACAAAAAAAGAAGCUAGUAGCUACAUGAAUGUUAGACUGAACAUGACUUGCCCACUUCCCCACCUUCAUUUGGAUUGGGA